rnacentral:rRNA from 1 species
AUACGGAGGUUGCAAGCGUUACUCGGAAUCACUGGGCGUAAAGCGCGCGCAGGCGGUCUUUUAAGUUGGAUGUGAAAGCCUACGGCUCAACCGUAGAACUGCAUCCAAAACUGUCAGUCUAGAGUCUGGGAGGGGAAGAUGGAAUUAGUUGUGUAGGGGUAAAAUCCGUAGAGAUAACUAGGAAUACCAAAAGCGAAGGCAAUCUUCUGGAACACUACUGACGCUGAGGCGCGAAAGCGUGGGGAGCAAACAGGAUUAGAAACCCCAGUAGUCC